GGAGAUCGUGUGGAAGAAGGAGGAACAUUUGGCCAUUUAAGAAGUUUAGUGUUUCAUCAGCAUCACUCUAUAUGCCAAGAACCAUGAUGGAUGCCAGAGAUACAAUGGUCAUUAAGGGUGAUGCCGAUGAUGCUGGUCUGUGAACCACACUUUGAAUGUCAACGGUAUAGAGGGUCGUAUGGACAAAACAAAAUUUUGUGUGACUCAUUCCCAAGGAAGGAAACAGAAGUCCUAAACACAGUGCAUGUACUACAGGCUACACGGAGGAAGAAACACCAAUUCAG